rnacentral:rRNA from 1 species
GACAGAGGCCUCAAGCGUUAGGCGGAAUCACUGGGCUUAAAGCGUGUGUAGGCGGAUCGUUAAGUGUCUUGUGAAAUCCCACGGCUCACCCGUGGAACUGCUGGGCAUACUGGCGAUCUUGAGGCAUUCAGGGGCGAGCGGAACAAGUGGUGGAGCGGUGAAAUGCGUAGAUAAUCACUUGGAACGCCAAUGGUGAAAACAGCUCGCUGGGAAUGAUCUGACACUGAGACGCGAAAGCCAGGGGAGCGAACGGG